GAUAAGUCCUUGCAGACCUGCUUCAAGAGCAGCCCUGUGAAAGGAAACAGAUUGCCUGGGGCCAGACAUUUAGAGGGUCUUACGCUUCUCUUUGCACUUGCAAAGUGCAUGUUCUCUUUCUCAGUGAUAUGCCACCCUUUCAGAAAAGGCUUGGAUGGGGAAAUGUCCUGUGGUGCACACCUCAGUCAGUCAUGUGUUGCACUGAACUGCCAGCAUGCAUCUAGGGCAUCCUUAUGCAGAGAAAUUCCUAUUGAUGAGAAGGCCACCUCAUGCAUCCAGUUUUUGCUACCUAUCUUCAUUUUUCCACAGUUCUCUCUGUGUUAAAAGGUUCCCCACACUCACAGUUGCUCUUCCCAAGGUUCAUGUGCCUGUCAUCCAACAUGCUUUGCUUGGAAUUUCCACUGAAAUUUGAGUUUCUAACAGAUUAGGGUUGGAUUAUAUAUGAUACAAUGGGAUUAAAAAGAAAAUAUAAGGAAGCUAAACUAAAACAUUUCAAUCCAUAGAAAAUGGCUUUUCGCACUCAUACUUUGGACAGAUGUUGAAAUUGUGUCACAGUGUAGAAUGAGAAUGAAUUAUUUUUUUUUUCCUAAUGAAACAAUACUUUCAUUUUUACAUAGUACAUUUUCAGUUUGUUCAUCAUAGAAUUGCAUGGAUUAAAAGGACCACAGUGAUCAUCUGGUUUCAACCCCUAUGCUAUGUGAGGUUGCCAGAAUUUAACAAAAUGGGCUAAAAGUUAAGUUUCCAAAUUCCCAUUUACAUCCACAGCUACAAAGCUUGAAGGUGCAGAGUUACUGAGCAGUCCCAUUUCUUACCGAUUCCAAUAGUCCUGUCCAUCCGACUCAUCCAAAAUAGACAUCUUGUGGCACUCUGUGUCUUCUGAAUAUCUUGAUUUUAUCUUUAAUGUUAAUCUCCCUUUCUGGAAGUGAGAAGGAAAUAAUUUUUUAGGAAAAAAAAUAAUAAUAACAAUAAUUCCUAUUUCCUUCUUUACAUCUUUUUUAUGGCAUGUUUUGAUUUUAAAGUUCCUCCACGUAGUUACCCUCUGUAGGUCACUCCUUUUACAAGACCAAUUUCUUCAACUCUUUGGAAGGGUGGAUAACAGCAGGAAAAGGGGAAAUGAUUUUAAGUUGAAGGAGGGAAGAUUUAGGUCGGAUAUCAGAGAAAGGUUCUUUGCCAAGAGAGUGGUGAGGUCCUGGAACAGACUGCUCGGGGGGUGGAACUUCAUGAUCCUUGAGGCCCCUUUCAGCACAAGCCAUUCUAUGAUUCUUCAGAAUAAUCUUCAGUGAGUUAGAUCUGAUUGUGAUUGGUGCAAAAGUUAAGUAUUAUUAUUACAUGAUUGGUUUUCCUCAAAGCCUGUCUUCUGGGUAGAUCUUAAUACAUCUAAAUACCUUAAUAUUGUUUUCUCAAAGAAGGAAAACAUUCUAAUUCAUGCUAGGGAUUAUGAAAGUAGUAAUUUUCUUGCAACUGGCCCUUAAUAUAGCUAAUAGCUCAUGGCAACACCUUAGGAUGGUUAACAAGGCCAUCAUUAACUGUGGUUAAUGAAAAAGUAAUUAAACUUUUAAAAAUCUAAUCCUGGAUGACAAAUCAUUAUAAAUUGUGCCCUUGGUUAUUCGUGUCACUAAUGUGAAUAAAUGAGUUUUAAGGUCUACAUACACAUAAAACAAAACUGUAAGGAAACAUAGCGUGAAUCCUGUUGGUUGUCAAUAGCUGGGUUGUUUUUCAAUCGCUUUUAAAACUUCUUAAAGUGUCCAUGACUUUGUGUAUAAUUUUUUUUUAAAUAUUUAAGAAGAAACAUUAACAUUUUGUGUGAGAAUCCCAAAAUCUGUUGUGGGAUUAUCCUCACUGACUUGGAAGAUCAUCAGCCAAACUGUGGAUAUUUGCAAGAGGGAGGGGAGACUUAUCGCAAAUCUAGCAAGAUGCAGUUCAGCAAAGCAACUGGAUUUCAACUCUUAUAAGCUGUCAAUAGAAACAGGAGACAGCAAACUAAUAUAUAAAUGUAUAUAUAUUUCUGUUUAGAAUGUGCCUAAGAGAACUCAGUAAAGAAAUAGAAAUAGGAUCAAUACAUGCUGUCUGCAAAUCAGUUUAGAUGGAGUCACAGUGUCUCAAGGAGGAAACACUAACUAGUUAAAAAGCCUUUCAUGAAACAAGUUAGAAACCUUCUGGUAAGUCCUUUGAACGUUUCAGACAUACUGGCAUUAACUCAUAACCCCCCAGACACUUCCCAUGAUCAGUCCUAUUUAUGGCUUCUAGGUCAUAGAAUCACAGAAUCAUGAAGGUUGGGAAGGACCUCUCAGACCCCCAAGCACAACCUCAGCCCACCUCACCAUGCCCUCUGCCCACGUCCCUCAGUGCCACAAAAUCCGAUUGUUCUGGAGCACCCCCAGGGAUGGUGACCCCAUCACUCUGGGCAGCUGUGCCACUGCAUCACUGCUCUUUUAGAGAAGAAAUGUUUCCUAAUACCCAACCUGCUGUUGGACUGAUACUGCCAUAACUCUUGUUAUUGCCACUGAAAUCUCCUUUGUGCUGUCAGAGCACCCUGAAGAGCUCAGUGGGCUGGGGCAGGGCACAGCCCCUCCUGACACCUGGAGGUGGAGCUGCCCGGGACCACCAGCCCCAUCCAUCUCACACAGUCUCCCUCAGAUCCCUGGGGUGGCUGCACACACAGAGCUUUUCUGCUGAUAAGAGAGAAUUUCCUUUAAAGUAACUCCUUCACACAAUGAGUUCCCUGUCCUUUCUUCAGAUGCUCUCAGUACUACCCAGGCUAUUCCUACUCCUCCUCUGGGGCCAGAGGACAUGACCUGCUUUCACUUUCUCUUUUCUCAUCUUUCUCCCCCUCCCAUAACACUGCAGCGUGCUCUCUUUACAUUACUCCAAGGCUGAGAGCAGCCCUCUUUGGCUCACCUUGUGAUUCCUCAGACCACAUCCCUCAGAGAUGCUCCAUCUGUACUCUGUGCAUUCAGAUCUGUCGCACUGCAGGGUCACCUCCUUUGUGUGUCACACUGUCCCCUCGGCCAGGCUGCAGUCGUGCUUUAAGGUAAAGGCCAUUCUCAGUGAACUUUAGAGACCUAGAAGUUACUUAUGUGUAAAAGUUAUUCCCAUUGUCAAAAGCAAAUGUAUUUUCUGCCUAUCCUUACUGCUGAAAAAAACCCAGAUCGAUUUAUUUUCAGAUUCAGAAAUCAGUUUUCCAAGUGUAAGAAUGUGUAAUGGAGCAAUUACGGGCAUCCUCCAAAAUCUGAAUUUAUGAAAAACUUCCCAUGAGGAAAGUUUCAUGUAUUUGACUUGGAAAAGCUUUUAUUUUUAUAAAUUCCUUUUUUGGAAAAGUGGUGCAAUACCAUCUAUAACGCAUAGUAUUGCUUUGAGAGGUUGUGUUCUGCAGCCAGCAUUGCUGCUGCUGCUUGUGAUAGGAAGGCACUGAAGCAGCGUGAGAAAACUUUGUUGGUGACAUUCACAGCUUUGUAAAAAAAAAGACAUUUGAACAGGCUUUUUUUUAAGCUGUGAUUUAGAAAAACCCUAAGAUGUAAUUAAAUCUGGUCACAACAUUUCUGUGAUUGAUGUGAUGGAUAACAGAUAGGUUAUGCUUAUCCCUGAUGUAACAGCACUGUAGCAAACACUGCGCUUAUUGCAUUACAGAUGAUAUCAAGCAAUGUUAGUCAUUCACAUGAAUAGCUCUAGUCUGAUUGAGUUUGAUUCCUUAUUAGGGAGAGUUCCACAGUGCAGAGUGUUGUACCAGUAAUAUAACACAGAAAUUGCUUCUAGCAUGUGGAACGUGCAAUUAUAAUAAGCAAAUAUUUAACUCAAACCAUGCUCUUGGGAUCACAGUGUCAAUAAGAGAUAUAAAAAAAACCUAAUUGUUUCAUUAGCCUGAGGCAGGUGAGAAGGGGCUGGAGCCAAGGUGGGCUGCCAGGGCUGUCCUGCAUGCAGAGCUCGGCUUAUGGGAAGGUGAUGAUUAAGCUGAUCAUAAAUGCAGGCUGGGAUUUGUUUUAUGAUCAAGAUAUUGAACAGCAAAUUAAUAAGCAUCAAAUUAUGACAGCAAUAAAUGGCAAUGGCAUGGGAAUGGCAGAAGGAGAAGCUCAGACUGUCAGGUAGCCGCUUGCACACAGGUGUAACUGCUGAUUGGUUGUUGCUCUGUGAAGAAAAAAUGAUUUCUUUAUGACUUCCCCUUUAAUAUCCCUUCAAGGGCUUGGGACAGUUGAGACCCAAAGAAGCCCUGACACAAAAUUCAGCUAAGAGACAGAUUUCUGCUCUUUCAAAGCCUUCUGCCUUUCCCAGCGAGCUGACUGGUGCUGCGAUGUGCUGCUAUUCAUCAGCAUUUUCAAGCAGGAGACAGACUCAUGAACUCAUUUUCUAUGGGAGAUUUCUUCUGGAGCCAGCAUUGCCAAGCAGUGAUUAGAUAAGAUGACACCCUGGGAAAUUCAAGAUGGAAUAAAAGCCCGAGCGGGUAUGCAGCCGAGCUGCAAGGCUAUCAGUCCUUAUUGAAGGGGCCUUCAUCUGGGACAUUCAGAGGGGCUCUUUUAAAAGCACCAGCACUCUAAUGAAGCUUAAUGGUUUUGAAUUGACGGUACCUUGCAGCAGAAGCUGCUUAGAUGCUUAAUAAUGGCAUAAUCAUCUUCUGUCAGCCAUUUGGUUGGCACAGAAUGCUUAUGCCUGCAUUGUUCCAUUUAAGAUAGAUGUAUUUACAUUUUAUUGACAUCAUAUACUUUCAUGCCAUAUCUCUUUACAUGUAUCACAAUAUCCUUUGUUUUGAACAUGGGGCUGCAGGAAUUUGGAUCAACUAACAUCAUGGGAAAUUUAGGAUGAACCAGAGCCAGGGUGCCUGAUAGAAGUAGAACUGCGUUUUUCUGCCCCAUAUAGAUUUUGUGGGCCUUGCACUCCCAACAUCUGACAUAGAACGUAAGUUCCAAGCACAGUGCUGUGCAGUGGAAUUGCAGGAUAAGGACCAUUGGGAAGAUAUGCUCUUUCAGACCUUCAGGUACACCUGGAUUUAUUUCAUGUUUCUGAAUGGAUUGCAUGAAAGGAAAUUAAAAAAUUAAUUAGGAAAAAGUGUGGCACAAAUAAUGGGAUAUUCAGCUGGGUAAAAGCGCUGUUGUAUCCCCUGCUACUCUAACUUUGAUGGUGACGUAAUCCCAGAGAAAGCAAUGAAUCAUGCUAUCAAUUAACUUGAGUAACAGUGUAUAUACAUAGGAAGUGUUGCAUAGUAGACACAAAUUUUAGUGUAUUAUGAAAAAAAGUCGGUGAAGUGAUUGGAGGAUAUCUGUUAAUUAGCCAUACAGAUUUUUGAACAUUCACCUAAAGAGAACCGAGGACAGCGUUAGCAACAAUUGUGAUAGAAAAUAAUUAGCUUGUUUUCAGGGCUUAAAUAGUCAUUACUUUCUUGUGAAGUCCCUAAUUAAGCUAAUCCUAGUUUAUAAUACAUUAGCAACCAUUCUUUAUGUGGAAGCUACUUCUUAGAGGAUAAAAAUAACUUCAAAGUUUGAAAUGCUCAAAAUCAUAUGCAAAAUUGUAGAGCUCGGGACAGGAGCAAUACAGAUGAAGAAAUUCCUGUUAUUCCUUGCUGCCUAUGUGCUGUUUGUUCACCUGGAGGCUGCAGAUACAACUGUUUAAAGGCUCCAGUGAAACAAUUUCCCCCUUUCUGCCUUGAAAGCCUGUUACCACGGUUUUCUUAGGAGGUCCUGCUCUAGCAUUACCCAAUUAUUUCCUAAGAACUGCGAAGGUAUUCUUUCUCACUGACUCAUGCUCUAAUAGAUGAAGGACUCAUUUUCAGUUUGAUAUUUGACUUCGGUCAAAGGAAAAGAGCUGAUAAUAUGAAGUUGAUGCAACACAAAGCACAAAGCCUGGGCUAGAGGAUACAGUGGGUUCUGACCUUUAUCCACAGAGAAAAUAUGAAACUGGAGAGGUAGAAUUAAGCACAGUUUGGGGGCUGGGAGGCCUGCACCUAGCUGUUGCCUGUUGUUCACAGAGGGCAGAAGGAGCAUCUUCUCCAGCUCUGUGCUUUGCUUGCUAAUUUACUCACAGUCAAGUGGAGGCAAUGUUGAGUUACAAAGCCCCCAAAAACAUGCGCAAGUAAGUUCAUUUUAUGCAAGAUGAUGGAAUCAGCUGAUGUGGCAAAACCCAGUGCCAUGUGGCCUCCCAGCUGAAAGGAAUGAUUGAUUGAAAAAACUGCUGAAAACUUGGCCAGCGAAUGCUGCAAAGAGAUCAACGUGAAGCAGGGAAGGUUGGCUCUCCCUGCUCCCUUGAAUUACAACAAGAAGGAAUCACGUCGCCCAUUUAGAAAGAGAGCAGAACCUCUCACUUAAAUAAUUUGUAGAAUCUUUGCUAUCAGCUUAUGCUCAGAAACUGAAAACUGGGUAAGGUAACCACAGCGAGCAUGAAAACACCUGAGAUCGACUUCAUGUACAGCAAGCCGCAGGAUUUCUAUAGAACUAUUUAUCCAGACAUCUCACUGAAACGUGGGGCUGCCUCACCACAUCAUGUAAUAUUCUGUCUGUUCCCCCUUCACUUACAUUCCUGGUACGGUAUCAAUAUUUCACGAACUCUUCUUACAUGGGCUGUUUAGUAUGUUGUAAGAGGCAAAACAUACACAGUACGCAUAAGAGAAAGAUUUGCUGCCAAAGGUAUUUAACAGACCUCUGCAACCUAGAAAGAACCAUAAAUCAAAAUACAAGGACAUGCAAUACAAAUAAUGCGAUAACGGUGUUCAACCAUGUGUAUAUAUAGUGCUUAUUUUGAAUUGCCCUCUGCUCUGUAAGUCAGUGUUAGAGCUCCUGAGCAGCUGGAGCUUAGCUCCUUGAGUCCGCCCAGCUGGAAUUUAACUAGUCCUUAUUACACAUGUACGUGCUCUCUGGGUCCUGCUUUUUGGCUUUUAUUUUAUUUUAUUUUAAAUGAGCAGAGCACAUUAAAGUUAGAAAAGAUUAAGCAGAAUUAAACAUGGAUGCCAUUUUGCAGAGACAUUCCUCAGAAGACAUGUUUGGGUUUUUUUUCUCCCCCACUCCUUUAGCUGUGUUAGAUCUGACUGCAAAUGACAAGCUGUACACAGGAACCAGGCAUUUAUACCCCUAUCAUCACUUAUUAACUGUUGAUAUUGUUGCUGACAGUGUAGCGAUAAUAAUAGGGAUUCUUUCAACACCUGGCCUCAAGAUGUAGGAGUUUAUGACAUUCAAAAAUAUCUCAGUGGAGCUGACAGGUGAAGGCAUGUUCAGAGGCAAUUCACACCAGGAGCAGUAUAUAAGUGCCGUACAAAGCUGACUGUGACCUUGAGGAGUCUUUGCCAGCCCUUAGGAGCUGACUUAGGCAUUCAGAAGCGAAGUCAUUUUCUCUGAAUAAGGUAUCACUGUCUCCAUCUGUAAAUCACUCUACACUGUCAGCGUGUUGUAGUUCAUGUAGCAAAAUGACUAAUAGGAAAUAAUAGUGUUGCAAUAGAGAGUAUAAGGAGAGCUGUGAUUUGAGUAAAAAAAAAAAAUAUCACACUACUGGAAAGCCAGCUGUUCCCACUUCCCUGACUAAUUGAAGGCAUGAAGCAAAUGCACUGAUGUGCUGAUUUCCUCCAACUUGCAUAAGAUGUGAGGUUCUUCAAAGAGGCAGUAGGCUCAUGAAAGGCUUGGGCCUGAAUAAUGGAAAACACCUUCAGCUUCCAAAAUCAUUGUUUCACAGACAACUGGAUGUAAGCCUUUCAGCAAGUACAUAACUGCAAUGCAAAUAAUUGGAUCCAGUCUCCACAUCUGCAUUAACGUGGUGUGCAGUGCCUGUAUUCAUACCCUGGUCCACCACAGCCAUCUACAGGUCAAUGCACAGAGAAUCCCUCGGCAGAUACAGACAUUUCAAUGGGAGAAGAUUUCUGUGAAGACCAGAAAAUUAUUGAUGCAGUCUAAAAUGAGCCUAGUCUCUCCAAUAAAUUCACAUUCAUGGGACUUGAAAAGAAGGAAUUGAGUUGGGAGGGACCUUGGCAAGACAUGGGACAUCCAAGAUGUUGGCAAAGAAGAAAUGGCAUCAGAAUGAUCUACAACUAUUUGCUCAUCCUGUGUUAAAACUGGAAAAACCAGCAGGUAAGGUACUGAUACAUGGCAUUGAUUGUCCACCACCAAUAUAAAAUUGGCCCCUUCCAGAUGCGAUGCCUCAAGUGAUGCUCUAGCAAAACUCAUGUGCUACACUAAGCUCUUGCUAAAUAAACAUUUUCUACUGCCCAAAGAAAUACAUCUCUACACCUUCUCCAAAAAUAAACUAACAACUCAGGGUGAUGGAAAUAAGAUUUCUCAACCAACAUGUUCUUUAAAGUUGAAGGAAGCACAUUUCUGUUGAGGUAGAAUGGACGAGACAGAGUCAGAGGAGGUAUUAUUAGCAAGGCAUCAUCCCACAGGAUUAGAGGUAUGAGAUAUAAUAUAUAGAGAGACCCAAGGGUGAGAUUACCUUAAGAUAAUACACCCUUUGGGUUUUUAAAUCGCCUCCAAAGCAAUCAAACUGGUUACCAUAGCAUUCGUUUUAAUGCACAGAUAAAUUUGUAGCUCUUGUUUAUAUAGCUUAUCCUCUGGAGGCACUAAUAUGAUUUCCUUUAAAACUCAAGUUAAUGAGAAAAUAAUGGAGCAUUGUAGAUAUAAGCAAAUUUUUUUCCCCACUGUCACUGGCAUCAUCUUUUAUACAGCCAGAGGGCUCUUUGAAAGUAUAAGUUGGAUUUAUUUUAUGUUCCACAAAACCUUUAAAAAAAAAUAAAUUCUUUCUUUACACCAAGCUUUCUGAUUCCAGCCUAAAGCCAAAAAUACUUACUGUCUAAAUAUAUUUAUAAAUCAGUAUAUUAUCCAUAAAUCUUACCUUAUCCCUAAUAAGAAAUUUAAAGUUAUCACUCUUAAAACUUCACUUUGGCAACAUACAUUCUUAUUUUAUUGUCUUUCCUGGACAGAAAUCAGAGAUGAGAUUUGUAUGUGGCCAGGGAAUAGGGGCUACAUAUCAGUUGCUGAGUGUAGUGAUCUGUGUAAUGAAGCCAUGUUUGUUUACUUUCCUUUCUAUACACCAGUGCAGUAAAUCUCAGCGUUUUGGAGAUUUCUUUUUUACUCCAUCAGCUCUCCUAAUCCUUUUGGUCAAACUCAGGAGCUCUGUUCUCUGGGAAUGUCCUCAAGUGCAAGGACAGAACACUGCCAAGGUUGACAUAAGCAAGUCUGAUAUAGGCUGAGAGCUUGUUGCAGCAAUUCAUUUGCCUGGGAAGGAUUUACGUUAUAUACAUAAUUUACAUUAUACAACAUGCAUAAAUAUAAACAAAUGCCUACAUGGACUGGGUCUUCAGGCAUUCCAAGCUUAUUGAAGAAGGAUUCUUCAGGCUUAUUGAGAAGGAUUAAUAGUAAUUAUUAAGAGUAUUGAUAGAAGUAAUGUAUUUUACUGGGACUGAAGGAUUGUCCCUGGUCUUGCUCAAAGACUAUGGGAGUUUCGAUUUGGAAAGGAAAGUCUUCCAGGUUCUUCACUCUUUUUCAGGAAUGAUUUUGUCACAUGGCAACUUGUAAAAUUUUCAGCUUUCUUCUGUUUCUCCAAACUGUAUAUCUGAAUUUUAGGAUAUUCUCAUAGAGCCUGGCUAUAUCCCUCUUCUCUUCAUUUCCCAUCUCUGGGAAGCCUUCAUAACUGGUCUGUCUGGAGAGUUAGAAAGACAUAUUCUCUGGAAGAUGGCGAAGUUGGACCUUCACCUCUAUUUCCCACCCCAAGUGCCUGUGGGACAGCCAAGGCAUUGUAGGGUUUCGUGCAUGGUUUGUGAAGGGUCAUAGGGAUUUGGCUCCUGCCUUUAGGAUGUGUUGUUUGGGUGCUAACACUGCCAGCCACUGUGCCCCAAAGCUUUUGAAACCUUGCCACAAUACCAUGUAGAAUCUCACAGGUUUGCUUUGGAGAGGAAAUGUAAUCACUGACUUCAGUAAGAAAGGUGCAGCAGUGGAGAGUCACUAUUAUAGUCAGCUCCAUAUGAACUAAUAAGAUAAAGCAUGUUUAAUUCCUUCAUUCAAGGAUAGCGUGGUUUUGAUUCCUUUACCCUGGAGAAACAUUACUAUAGGAGAGAACAACACACUGUAUCAUUGAUGGAAGUGAAAUCUUGUCCCUGAGAAGCAAGGAAAUUGUUGCAGCCCUUUCUCAAGCAGCCUUUGCUCUCCCUCCACAUAGUCCUCCUAUGACUGUCCAUUCAAGACCCCAGUUCUGACAGUAAAACCACAGGCAAUGGAACCAGCUGGAACUUACUCUCUUUUUGACCCAGCUGCUUCAAAAGUAAAUAUCUCUUUCACAGGAUGGAGAAUCUUAGUUUUGGUGAAAUAUAUAAACUGUCAGUUCUGAAGCCUGAAGCCUUUGACCUCUUGAAAAAGGCUCUCCAACAAAUAAAAAUAGUCAUUUUUUGACCCUUCUUAGGCAGGCCAUACUCUCCAUUCAGAGCAUAAUUACAUAAUAGGACAGCUAUCUUAGAUCACACUAGGGGGUCUGAAGAAUAUAUUAUUUUGCAGAAUAUACUAUAGCUGGAGUUUCCAUGAAGAAACAGAAAGUAAAGACUUUUGGAGGAAGAAUUGCAAAUAAUGAGGAAGUACACAGCUGACUUAAAUAAAUACACAAGCAAAUACAUGCUGAUUGCUACUCCAUGCUGAUAAAUGCAUCCUAUUGAAAAAUGGGAGAAGGGAAAAUGUCUGCUAAAUGGUAUAGUGCUGCUGAAUACUAACCAGGAAAGAGAUUUUAACUUUAUUGUUGGGAAAUCCCCAAAGCCUUUGCUGUGCUGCUUCAAUAUGCAGCUGUGGCAUGCACAGGACAAACAGAAUGCUGUGUAAAAGAAAAAAGAUAUAAGCCUCUAGGAAAGGAGCUGGUGAUGCAGGCCUGCACAUCACUAAGCCAGUGGUAUUCCUGGAGCAGACAUAUUGCUCUGAUUGGCAUUGCACCGAUGAUGAAAUAACUGAUUUAAUGAGUAAAAAAAAGUAAAAUAUCAAGCAAAUAAAAUGUUGCAGAGUUGUUGCUAAUUGUUUAGAAACAAAUCUCAUGCUUUAAAAGGUAUUUGGAAAUACCUAGCAAAAGCCUGGAUGAAAAGCUAGCAACCACUGAGCUGGUAUUAGAUAACUGGCAGCUAAACGAGGAAUAGACACAUUUGAACCAGAUGGUUAUAGUUUUGGUCAAAGAGAUCAAACCUGGUACCACAGUUAAACAGGAGGGUAUCAAACGCUAACUGUACAUGUUUCAGAGAUGGCUAAUGUUCCAAAAAGAUUUCAUAAAUACUCCCCACAAGCUCUCAGAUAUUGGCUAUGAUUCACGUUAUGAUCCCAGCAGUACGUCCAGAUGAAAUAGACUCUGUCAAUGUUAAUUCAAGUCUUUGAAAAUGCUGUUUUUAGUUCUUCAGUCUUCUGCUACAUCUUGGGAGAGGUAAAAAAGCUCCUCUAUGAGUUCUAUUAUGUGAUAAAGAGCAAGUCAAGCAAAUCUGCUCCUCAAAGAGGAAAUCCAGCAUUUCUAAAUGUAAUGCCACAGGUGAGGAAACACUCAGAGUAGACACAACAGCCCUGCUAUUUUCCUAGUAAGUGUUGCAACAUGGUGGGUAGUUUAAGCCAUGUAAGAGUGUCUGAUGUAGGCAUUAUGAGGGACUGAAGAGUAGGACACUGUGUCUGGGGGGAAAAGCUGUAUUGUAAGAGGAGGCUGAAGCUUGCAGGGCUUGGAACUUGCUGGUUCACCGCCCUGCUGCACCAAGCAUUUCCAGAAUGGAUACCUUUGGCCCUCUGAGCUUCAGCUCUUUGCAAAAGCAGUUCUCUACAUCAAAGAUUUGUUAUAAGACAAAAUAUGGUCCAGGCUGUGAAGCAUCUCUAAAACAGCCAAGUUUUACACAUACCUGUGAUCUGUUGAGAGUUGGCUUUGGUCUACAUGCCUUAAGUUCCCAAGUACAUAAUAAAGUCAUUUUAGCAGCAUGGUUAUAUGAUUUUUUUUUAUUUUUUUUUUUUAAUUUUUUUUAACAAAUAUGAGUAAAUAAAAGCUGAAGGGCAAUUGAAACUAAGUGAAAAUGUGUUCCUUUAGUGAAAAAAAGACACACUUUUCAAGCAUUCUGAGCUGCUGGAUCCCAAUAUGAAAGAAAUACCUACAAAUGUGUUGAAAAUAAGGGAGCAGCAGCAUGGAAAUUAUAAUUUUCCCAUUAGAAUAUACUAAGAAACGCAGCUGUGCUUGCUUUCCCUACUGAUCCCCAGCCUUCAAAUUCCUCUAAAUUAAAUUGUAAAAUAAUGAUCUCCUUUUCUGUUUCCUGCUAAGCUACAUAGUUAAUCCCCAAUACAGAAAUAUAUAAAGAACAUGUAAUUUUAGGAAAACCAUUAUUACUAAAAUACAGAAGGCCUCAGACCAAAGGAUUUCCACAAUUUCCAAUGCACAUUUGAACCCAGAUCCAAACCUUCUCUCUGGGUUUGCCUUGGUCUAAUCCUUUUGUUUGCAGCCUGAUUUCAGGAGGGAAAAUAAAAUCAAAUCAGACUAUGAUUUUAACGGGAACAUUCGGUUGUGAUAGCAAAUACACAUGCUGAAAUAAUCUGAAACAGCCUGUCUGCUUUAGCUUUUUUAAGCUUAUGAUUAUUAUUAUUUUUUUUCAUGGUGAUUUCAAAUGACUGCAUGGUAAGAGCAGCAGACAGGCCUGGAAGAAGAGCGUCUCUGUUAUCAACAGUCACCCAUGCCAGCAUGUUCAAUGUAACAGAGCUUCUGAGGUUGUAAGAACUAACACAUGGAAGACAUUUUAAUAACUUUAAUUAAAGUUAUUCAGUUAUCUGGGAUUUCUGCGAGUUUAAUAAGGUCACUGAUGUCAGAAGGGUGCGGGUAUCUUAAAUUUCUCAUUUUCUCUGCCUAAGUGAUCAUGGCAUUUAAAGCACACUGUCAGCUUAUAUGGCAUUGUAAUUCUUUUAAAGUAGGAGGUGUUUAUUUAAGAAGCAGCACUUGCAGCUACAGGCAGACCUCACGGAGGGGGGAGGAAUGGGAGGCAGGGGAGAAUACUUGAAUGGCAGCCUUGUUGGUUUUGUUUACCAGGGACCAGCUCUGUCCCAUAUUGCCAUUAAGUGGCUCCAUCCUCCAGUGCCCUCAAGGCAUAGAAAUAGAGAGAAGCAGAUGAGGGACAUCUCUUUUUGUAAGAGGUGUUAUAGACAAUACAUAACUACAUUUUCAAACUGCUCUUAUUAUUAUUAUUACUCUUUUUAACACACUCUCUUCCUCUCCAGCAUCUCCUGCUAUCAGGUCAAAACAAAAAUUGAGGGGAACAAAAAGACUGACAACAAAGGAUUAUUCUGGGACUUCUGAGAGAAGCUAGGAUAUUUAUGGAUUUAUUAUAUUCCCUGGGAUAACAAGUUUCUGAGAUGUUAGUACAUUGUCAAGUAUUUUUCAAGGUUAACAGUUUAGGGACACAAUUACGUUGCAAGUUGUCUGCAAGAAUAAUUAAGGGUAUUUCAGAGAUAUGCAAGAAAAAGCGUUCCUGCAGCUGUCAGAGAGCGAGUGAUCCCAGCUCAAAGAUGAGCCCUCUCCUUCUUUUCAGUCCCUUUUCAAAGAACAUCCUCCUGUGUUCAAGCAUACUCAGAAGCAGAUAAAAGGCAUGUGCUUAGGCUGGGAGGAGCGCAAGUAAUGGUGAGGCAAUCCCAGGUACAGCCCAUCCAGCAGCUGCCUACCGGGGUGGCCCUCCAGAAAGGCAUUGUGAAAUAAAUAUUUCCCAAGGCCAGAAGAUGGUAAGAAGUCAAGAAAUUUUUCCCAGAGAGGCUGUGGAUGCCCUGUCCCUGAAGAUAUUCAAGGCCAGCUUGGAUGUGGCCCUGGGCAGCCUGGUCUAGAAUUAAAUGUGGAAGUCAGUGGCCCUGCCUAUAUCAGACAAGGUGGAGCCUGAUGAUCCUUGAGGUCCCUUCCAACCCAAGCCAUUUUAUGAUUCUCUGAAACAGAGGCAAUGAGGGCAGCUGCGAGUGCCAGGCUUGCUAGAGCUCUGCAUCCAUCUGGGCAGGCACCAGAACAGCACCAGGUACCUCCUCAAUCAGUUCUGCUAGUGAAGUCAUUGGGCUAGUUAAUAAAAAGUCAGAGAUUGUGAAAGUAAUUGCAAGAUCUAGAGAAACAUGAAUACAGAGAGGUCUUAAAUACGAAGAAAUCCAGUAAGUCAGCACUUUGAUUGAAGUGCUGCAACUAAUAUGCAUAUCUGUCUAUCUUUCUAUGAUUCUGACAUGAUUUUUAAUCCUUCUUUCAAAUCCCAAUCAUUAAUGAGGGAUAGGGCUGGACUGAAGAGGACCAAAGAGAUUUAUUGAUACCAACUCAGAGCCAUGGCUGUAAAUCAGGACAGUGAAGAAGUAUGCCACUGCUGGCUUAUGUUCUCUUCCUGCAGAGGGACAGGGAUGAAUGAACAAGUGUCUAAAUGAAUGAAUAGAUGAAUGAAUGAAAGAAUGAAUGCAUAAUCAAAUAAAUACAUUAAAAUACAUUGCCAGCUUGCUGGGAUUACAUAGCAAUGGAGCUCUUCGGGGGCUUUGUACAAUUGUAGGCAACAGUGUGCACGUUUUUAUUACAAAUUAAAACCUACCUCACUCAAACCUUCCGAGUGUUUAAUUUUUACCAAAAGUCAAAAGGUGCUUUGCAAUUGGAAAAACUACAGGAUUUGGAUCCUGUGCUACCAAAACCACAUCCCUGUAUAGCUGUGCUCACUGUGUGGAACACUGUGCUCCUGCUGUGCAGCUGGGGCUGACUGCCAACCGAUGGUCCCCAAGGACCAUCGUGGUGCUGACACAACAGAUACUGUGCUGCUGCAGUACACAUGAGGUCAGAUUUGGGGAAAUUACCCUACUUUCUCCUCUCCCUGGAACACUGAAAACACUUUUGUUUUCCCAAGCCAUGACCCUGACCCUGCGUUUGUGCUACCUCUGGGAAAUGCAAUGUUAGGAGUUGCCAUCAAUAAUUCACGAUAUCACCUUUUUCUAGGCUAGGGACAAGAAGGACAGAUGGUAGAAACCUUACAGGUACCCAGCACUGAAUGUAGGCUUUCUGACCUCAAGGCAAAGGUUUUAUUCCUUUUGAAGAGAAUGUGGUCAUCCAUUUAAUUUUUUUUCCCCCGGAAAAACAGCUGCUUUGAACUUUGUGAUCUGAUGAGCUGAAUGUCACUGGAAUUUCCUUCCCUUUCCCUCUGCUUUGGAAAUGACUUCUGAAUCGAGGCCCUGAAGCUCUUCUAACUCAAGGUAUCAUCACGGCCCUAAAGGAAAAGCAGUGGACCACAGCAGCCCAAAAUAGGCUCCCCAAAAUGCCACAAACAGGGGGCUUCUCCUAGCAGCAGAGGACGGCAGAGAUGAAUGAGGCUUUAUCCAAAUGUUAAGGAAUAGAACAUAAAUAAAAGAACCUGUUCUUCACAAAGCUCACACACUUCCUGAGAAGCUGCUCAGCAAUGAGGAGGCCGUGCCAGCUGCCACGUCCUGAGGUAACUCCUUUGGUUCAGUGGUCCUGGACCAUGGUAAGAUCUGGGAAAGUGGGAAAGGGCAAUGGGUGGUGGGAGGACAGAGAGAGCAACACCGGAGGCUGGAAGUGUCUGGGGUGCUCAUAUGAGGCCAUGAGUACGUUAAGCUUGGUAUCUUCAUGCAGAACACAAGUAUUGCCCAGUGCCCUGUGGCAUGUGCACCUCUCUCUUGUGCUCAGCCUGGGUUGGAUCCUUCGCCAGCCCAUUUCUCAUGUUCCAUAAUGCACACAGAAAUGCUGUUCCUUGAGCUUGGUCACACUGACUCUCUGGUGGCUUUAAUUAAAAGGUUUCUACCCAUCAGUGUCUGCAGAGGUCUCUUAACUUGUACUUGCUUUUGGAGCCCAGUCCCAGGCUCAUUGGUGCUAAGUGAAAAGCCAUCCUCUGAGCAAGUACGCUAACCUUGUCUUAACUUAUGGAAAGAAAUUAAAAAGUGAUUAAAUAAUUAAUACUGGAUGUUGCUUAACACUUGGUAAGAGUGUUAGUUAAUAAUCUUCUGAAGCUUUUUUUUCUAAUUUGGGAAUAAAAUAGAUAUAAUUUAGCAUGUCAUUCUGAAGCAGCAAAUAAUGCUGUACAGAGAAUCGAAGGAAAUGUGUUUCUUUGAUUAGGAUGUUUUUCUCAUUAACGGGAUGCUCAAAAUAAAGCAAAAAUAUUUGAUGCACAGAGCCAGUGGCAGUAUCAAGUGAACGGUGGCAUGCUCCUGCAUUUUACCUCGUGUUUACUAAUCAAUCAGAAAGGACUCUUGCCACCAAGAAAGGUCACAUCUUUCAUCACAAAACUGAAACUCUUUGACAACAAUCAAAACUUCACUGCUUUGUUUAAUGUGGAUUCCAGCACAGAAGACCCAGGCCGUGAAGAUGGUGGGUGUGGGAUGAGGUGAAUGCGCAGAGCUAUGAUUCCCAACUGUUUGUUGCUCCCUACUGUGAGUCUGCGUGUCACAAGCAAAAAUGUGUUAAAAGCCCUUGAAAGAACUGGGUUGUAAUUGGCUGAUCAUGAACGCUGGUUUUGCUGCUUUCUUUUCCCUCUGCUGGCUGCCUAGGCAUUAGCAUCUCCAAGGAGUCUUCUGGGCAGUGACAAUAGUGGGAUGCAGACCCAAGCUGGCCUGGUCCCCUGGAGGAAUCAUUGGUAUGAAAAGAUGCACACGUUACUGGCAGCUAUAGCACAUAUUGCAUGGCAUGACACACACAGAAGUGAGAUUAAUAUGAGUUCUGGGCAUCAUUAGCUCAAUUAAAACUGUGAUUUUUUAGUUCAAACCUACAGGCCAUUGCAGAGAAGAGUAAUCAUAAGGCAGAAAUGAGUUCCCUAGUUAAAAAUUAAUUCCCUAGACUAAAAAUAUAAUCAAAUGAUGUCUACAGUAUUUUAUGAAGAGCUGAGAGGAUAAUAAAAUUUAGAGCAGUGCAACAUUUGCAUUUUGUUCAUUUCUAUCCAUAUUUUUCCACACACUGCCUUUCUCUGUGCUUGUUAAUCACAUGCGCUGCUACAGCCCUGGCAUUUUAAGAUCACUCUUCACAUCAAGAUUGAAAGGAAACUAAUUACAAUUACAUUUCAGGGCGGUUGUUUAAAGCUGGUACAGCAUGGAAUACAGCAGAGGAGCCUUGACCUUUAUUUGUAAGCAUGGAAAUAAGGUAAGGAUGAAAGAUUGCUUUUCCUCCAGCUCAUAGGCAGGGAUCAGGAGGCCCUCCUGAGAAGCAGGGAGGUGGAAAGUCCCCAUUUAAUUUCUCUCCUCGCCUCCUCUCCCAUGCUGGCAGCAGAGGCCAGUAGUGCUAUGCAGAAGCCGUGCUCCACUGCAGUGAGAGGUGAAGGGAAGCACCGCACAUGUUGCACCUCCCUCGGGCUGCUGGAAGGAUAAGCAGUGAAUCAACAGAGCUGAGGACCUUUCUGUUUUGACCCCCAGCCCAGCUCUAUUUAGUCCAUUAGUGUAUAGCAGAUCCUUUCCUAGGGCUGGGCACAGACACAGGCUCACCUGGUGCUUCAUGCUGCACUGAUGCAGUGAUGGAAGGUAUCGAUGUUCAUGGGCUACCUGAGGGCAAGAGGUAUGAGUAGUGAUGCAAUCUCUGCUGCUCACAUUAUGACUCAGUGGUACCAAUAGGAUCUGUGUGAGUGCAGCAGGGGAAGAAUAAGGACCCCCUGACCUGAGGAAAUACGGGUAAUCCUAGCAUGGUCUUACUUCUAUUAAAAGUGAUUGCAUAUAGAGUGUACUGAAUGGCAAAUUUACUCAGGAGGUUUAAGUUGAUUCUGUGUCUUCACGUUUUCAAAAGUUUUAUUUUAGUAAAUUUGUACCAUGCUCAAAAUAAACCAAGAGGUAGUUCCACAAGCAGGUUCAAAUCCGGGAACUGCUGUUGCUCUGGAUAUCCCUUUCAGUAUCAUCACCUGUCGUUUGAAAGCUUGUCACGGUGCGUAUUGACCCUCAGGAGAUCUUCUGAUCUCCCCAGGUUAUCACAGCUUCACAGUGAAAUGGGCUCAUUGGAGAUAUAGCACUGAAGGCAUUCUGCAUGCCAGACCCACAAAAUGUAGGCAGUGAUUGUACUGCUUCUUGUAUGUGGUUCUGCAUUUACUCUACUCAAGCCAUUUCAUUUGCCAGCCCCCCCUUUUCUGGCAGAAGUCAUUGCUGGAUCCCUGAAGUCCAGUGAAUUUGAUGGCAAGUUACACCAGGUCAUUAUCAUCUGUGGGCUGGAAAAGCUCCUUUUCAGGUAUUAAUCAAUUAAAAGAGGGAAAACCACCUCACACAAACCCAUUCCACAGCUCCCAACCUUCAUAGACACAGUGCUGGCUAACCCAGCUGGCAGAUGGCCAUGCUGUGUUGAGGAUGCAAACUUGGGUGAGGAUGCUGGGGAUCUGGUUGCCACUUCAGCAAGGCAAAGAAGAAGGAUUCACAGCAAUUCCACGGUGCAUUCUGUGUCUGUCUGCAUUCUCAAAGCAAAAAUUUAAUCAUGCAAAUAUUUACAGAAAUUGGAGAAAAAAAUAAAGACCAGUGAAAGCUGCUGCAGUGAACUUCUAAUUACAAAUCCACAAAGUGUUUAUGAAUAAAUUUAUCUAUUAUUUGUCUUGCUCUAGCACUGCACAUACUUUGCCUUGUACCAUUACAGUCUGAAGGAAACAAUAUGCAUCAUGAAAUGAAAACAAUUUGACUUAAUUAUUUAUACCAUUACCACCCUUUUGAAUUAAGUCCUUCAUUUCUUUGGUAUUUUGUAAAAUUUAACUGGUAAUUAUGCUUGUUUAAUUCAUUUAUUUCUCUACUACUACAAUGAGAUUAAAAAAAAAAAAAUAAAAUGACAAAACCCUACCAGAAUGCAAAGUGCCACUGUGUUCUCAAUUUGUAAAUGAUUCUUUUAAGCUUUUAUGACAAUAAAAAGAAUGUACUAUUUUCCAUCA